rnacentral:rRNA from 1 species
GAGACACGGCCCAGACUCCUACGGGAGGCAGCAGUGGGGAAUUUUCCGCAAUGGGCGAAAGCCUGACGGAGCAACGCCGCGUGAGGGACGAAGGCCUCUGGGCUGUAAACCUCUUUUCUCAAGGAAGAAGAUAUGACGGUACUUGAGGAAUAAGCCACGGCUAAUUCCGUGCCAGCAGCCGCGGUAAUACGGGAGUGGCAAGCGUUAUCCGGAAUUAUUGGGCGUAAAGCGUCCGCAGGCGGCUUCUCAAGUCUGCUGUUAAAGCGUGGAGCUUAACUCCAUCAUGGCAGUGGAAACUGAAAGGCUUGAGUAUGGUAGGGGCAGAGGGAAUUCCCGGUGUAGCGGUGAAAUGCGUAGAUAUCGGGAAGAACACCAGUGGCGAAGGCGCUCUGCUGGGCCAUUACUGACGCUCAUGGACGAAAGCCAGGGGAGCGAAAGGAUUAGAUACCCCUGUAGUCCUGGCCGUAAACGAUGAACACUAGGUGUCGGGGGAAUCGACCCCUUCGGUGUCGUAGCUAACGCGUUAAGUGUUCCGCCUGGGGAGUACGCACGCAAGUGUGAAACUCAAAGGAAUUGACGGGGGCCCGCACAAGCGGUGGAGUAUGUGGUUUAAUUCGAUGCAACGCGAAGAACCUUACCAGGGUUUGACAUCCUGCGAACCUCUUAGAAAUUUGAGGGUGCCUUCGGGAAUGCAGUGACAGGUGGUGCAUGGCUGUCGUCAGCUCGUGUCGUGAGAUGUUGGGUUAAGUCCCGCAACGAGCGCAACCCACGUUUUUAGUUGCCAGCAUUUAGUUGGGCACUCUAGAAAGACCGCCGGUGAUAAACCGGAGGAAGGUGUGGAUGACGUCAAGUCAUCAUGCCCCUUACACCCUGGGCUACACACGUACUACAAUGCUACGGACAAAGGGCAGCAAACUCGCGAGAGCUAGCAAAUCCCAUAAACCGUGGCUCAGUUCAGAUCGUAGGCUGCAACUCGCCUACGUGAAGUAGGAAUCGCUAGUAAUCGCAGGUCAGCAUACUGCGGUGAAUACGUUCCCGGGCCUUGUACACACCGCCCGUCACACCAUGGAUAGUUGGCCAUGCCCGAAGUCGUUACUCCAAC